UCCCCUCCUCUGGUCCGACGAGCCACCGCCGGACACCCUUGCUCUCGACCCCGUCGCGACGAUCAGCGGCCACUGGAUGUCGAUGUGCAGAGAUCACGCCAUGCCCUAGCACUGUCGCCGACUGCCAGAAUUGAUCCAGCACGCCUUGUGACACUGCCGAUCCCUUGCCUCUGCCCUAGCCUUCAGCCGCGUGCCCUACUUGAUCUUGGAGGUCACGGAUUGGUGAGGUUUUGUGUAUUGUGGGGUGUUUUUGGAUUACGGCAGCGACCCCAUCAUGCAGCAUCCUGUUCCAGCACCAACAGAGGCUAGGUAGUGAGGUUUGAGUGCUGUUGCUUGGUUCCAGCUUUAGACCCAGCCGCUAUAGCUCCAGUUGUGAGCAACGACAUGAACGAAUUUUUUUUUGGGACUUUGACGCGAGACGAGUAUCUCGAUGUCGGAUUUGGACAUUUCUAUUGGAGG